rnacentral:rRNA from 1 species
AGUGAACGCUGGCGGUAGGCCUAACACAUGCAAGUCGAACGGCAGCACAGUAAGAGCUUGCUCUUACGGGUGGCGAGUGGCGGACGGGUGAGGAAUACAUCGGAAUCUACUUUUUCGUGGGGGAUAACGUAGGGAAACUUACGCUAAUACCGCAUACGACCUACGGGUGAAAGCAGGGGAUCUUCGGACCUUGCGCGAUUGAAUGAGCCGAUGUCGGAGUAGCUAGUUGGCGGGGUAAGGGCCCACCAAGGCGACGAUCCGUAGCUGGUCUGAGUGGAUGGUCGGCCACACUGGAACUGAGACACGGUCCAGGCUCCUACGGUAGGCAGCAGUGGGGAAUAUUGGACAAAGGGCGCAAGCCUGAUCCAGCCAUACCGCGUGGGUGAAGAAGGCCUUCGGGUUGUAAAGCCCUUUUGUUGGGAAAGAAAAGCAGCAGGUUAAUACCCCGCUGUUCUGACGGUACCCAAAGAAUAAGCACCGGCUAACUUCGUG